ACGCUGGCGGCGUGCCUAAUACAUGCAAGUAGAACGCUGAAGGAGGAGCUUGCUUCUCUGGAUGAGUUGCGAACGGGUGAGUAACGCGUAGGUAACCUGCCUGGUAGCGGGGGAUAACUAUUGGAAACGAUAGCUAAUACCGCAUAACAGUAGAUGUUGCAUGACAUUUGCUUAAAAGGUGCAAUUGCAUCACUACCAGAUGGACCUGCGUUGUAUUAGCUAGUUGGUGGGGUAACGGCUCACCAAGGCGACGAUACAUAGCCGACCUGAGAGAGUGAUCGGCCACACUGGGACUGAGACACGGCCCAGACUCCUACGGGAGGCAGCAGUAGGGAAUCUUCGGCAAUGGACGGAAGUCUGACCGAGCAACGCCGCGUGAGUGAAGAAGGUUUUCGGAUCGUAAAGCUCUGUUGUAAGAGAAGAACGAGUGUGAGAGUGGAAAGUUCACACUGUGACGGUAUCUUACCAGAAAGGGACGGCUAACUACGUGCCAGCAGCCGCGGUAAUACGUAGGUCCCGAGCGUUGUCCGGAUUUAUUGGGCGUAAAGCGAGCGCAGGCGGUUAGAUAAGUCUGAAGUUAAAGGCUGUGGCUUAACCAUAGUACGCUUUGGAAACUGUUUAACUUGAGUGCAAGAGGGGAGAGUGGAAUUCCAUGUGUAGCGGUGAAAUGCGUAGAUAUAUGGAGGAACACCGGUGGCGAAAGCGGCUCUCUGGCUUGUAACUGACGCUGAGGCUCGAAAGCGU
rnacentral:rRNA from 1 species